rnacentral:rRNA from 1 species
GUGAACAUACCUAUACGUUGCCUCGGCGGAUCAGCCCGCGCCCCGUAAAACGGGACGGCCCGCCGCAGGACCCACAAACCCUGAAUUUUAUUGUAACUUCUGAGUUUAAAAAACAAAUAAAUCAAAACUUUCAACAACGGAUCUCUUGGUUCUGGCAUCGAUGAAGAACGCAGCAAAAUGCGAUAAGUAAUGUGAAUUGCAGAAUUCAGUGAAUCAUCGAAUCUUUGAACGCACAUUGCGCCCGCCAGUAUUCUGGCGGGCAUGCCUGUUCGAGCGUCAUUUCAACCCUCAAGCCCCCGGGUUUGGUGUUGGGGAUCGGGCUGCGGUUCUACCGCGUCCCGGCCCCGAAAUCUAGUGGCGGUCUCGCUGCAGCCUCCAUUGCGUAGUAGCUAACACCUCGCAACUGGAACGCGGCGCGGCCAAGCCGUUAAACCCCCAACUUUCUGAAUGUUGACCUCGGAUCAGGUAGGAAUACCCG